GAUGAAGAACGCAGCGAAAUGCGAUAAGUAAUGUGAAUUGCAGAAUUCAGUGAAUCAUCGAAUCUUUGAACGCACCUUGCACUCCUUGGUAUUCCGAGGAGUACGCCUGUUCGAGUGUUAUGAAGCUCUCAAAACGCAAUUGGCUUAAAACCUGAUUGUUGUUUUGGAUUUGAACUUUGCCGUGUUAUAACGACUGGUUUUAAAAGUAUUAGCUGGUACUAGAACGAAUUGGUUCUACUCAACGUGAUAAUUAUCUGAUCGUUGAGGACAUUCCUUUCACGAGGAAUGGCCAUAGUAAAUUCAAUGGACUGCUUCUAAUCUGGCUUUAAUUCUUUAUUGGAUUAACCACUUUUCAAAUCUGACCUCGAAUCAGGUGGGACUACCCGCUGAACUUAAGCAUAUCAAUAAGCGGAGGA
rnacentral:misc_RNA from 1 species